UUUGUGUGCAUGCUUUUUAGAAAAACGAGAAUGCCGCACAGGCUAGCACUGUCCACUGUCACCUGCUGUGAUUUACUUGACUGCGGUUGAACACUUCAAAUGAUCAAGACAUCGCAGUACAUAAUCUUCAGUGAAGAUGCGUUUCUGUUGUACAGAAACCAAGUCAGAAGCUGUUACCACAUACAUGUACGUGAAGAAAGCAUCCUAUUUUGAAAGCAGGGAUAUUUAGCCAGUGUUGAUCAGCUGUGACAAUGAUGGACCUAGCUGUAAAAAGAUAGACCUUAUGUCUUUCAAAUGAGAGGAAGAGCCUGCAAAAGUGCAAAUGGGUCCGAGUCAUCUCCUGAUCAGUUCUCCAAUUGAAUACUGCUGUCUGAAUGUGUUCACAGAAUGAAUGCGAACCACGGCCCUUGCACCAGGAUCUUGCAAAUACGUGAAACUGCCAAUUUCAACCAUUUCACCUGUGGAUAUUGGAUUAUGAAGGUCAAAGUUUGCUGGAGAAAUUCACCCAAUACAAAUUUUCAGAUCCAACAACUAAGAAACACUCUCUUGACGGUGGACACGUCAACCUUCACAAAUGACAAGGAGCAAAUUAUUUCGUUUUCUUUCGUUUUAUUUCUUUCAAUAUCUUUUAAAUCACUUUUAUCAACAUGAAUUUGUUUCGGAACAAUUACCCUUCUGGCAUCUAACAGUCCGUUUACCAUGGCAUCAAUAAGUUGGUUAUUGAAUUAAAAAAAAAAAAAUUGCGAAAAAAAAAGAUUACAAAAACUUAAUAGUAUGGUAACAAUUUGAAACAUGAUUUUAAGUACAGCACGACUAUUUUUUAAGUUGAUGGCCAAAUUUGGGGUAGAAAACACCCGAUAUAAAAAGGUUGCUAUGCAUAAUGUGCAGUGAUCAUGCAACUCGUUAAAAAAUUUACAGCACACAGUAAGUACGUUUUGGAGAUUAAUGAGAAAAGUAAAAGAAAUUCUAUACAAUUUACAACCUUCUGGCUUGAUCAGUGCAAGUUUAAAGUUUCGUAUUAACAAAUUCUUUUA